rnacentral:snRNA from 13 species
AAACUUACAUGGCUGGGGGGAUCUCGUGAUCAAGAAGGCGGGACCCCCAUGGUGAGGCCCAUGCAUUGCACAUUAGCAGGGACUGACCUGUGUGCCAGCCUCGAGUUGAAGUCACCCAACAGCUAAAUUUUUUGUUAUCUUGGUUACUGAAGAAAACUGACUCUACCGUGA